rnacentral:rRNA from 1 species
GACGUAGGGCGCGAGCGUUGUCCGGAAUUAUUGGGCGUAAAGAGCUCGUAGGCGGCUUGUUGCGUCGUCCGUGAAAUCCCGUGGCUCAACUGCGGGCUUGCGGACGAUACGGGCAGGCUAGAGUUCGGUAGGGGAGACUGGAAUUCCUGGUGUAGCGGUGAAAUGCGCAGAUAUCGGGAGGAACACCGGUGGCGAAGGCGGGUCUCUGGGCCGAUACUGACGCUGAGGAGCGAAAGCGUGGGGAGCGAACAGG